rnacentral:rRNA from 1 species
AUACGUAGGUGUCAAGCGUUGUCCGGAAUUAUUGGGCGUAAAGCGCGCGCAGGUGGUUCCUUAAGUCUGAUGUGAAAGCCCCCGGCUCAACCGGGGAGGGUCAUUGGAAACUGGGGAACUUGAGUGCAGAAGAGGAUAGUGGAAUUCCAAGUGUAGCGGUGAAAUGCGUAGAGAUUUGGAGGAACACCAGUGGCGAAGGCGACUGUCUGGUCUGUAACUGACACUGAGGCGCGAAAGCGUGGGGAGCAAACAGGAUUAGAUACCCUGGUAGUCCACGCCGUAAACGAUGAGUGCUAAGUGUUGGGGGGUUUCCGCCCCUCAGUGCUGCAGCUAACGCAUUAAGCACUCCGCCUGGGGAGUACGGUCGCAAGACUGAAACUCAAAGGAAUUGACGGGG